UACGUAGGGUGCAAGCGUUGUCCGGAAUUAUUGGGCGUAAAGAGCUCGUAGGCGGUCUGUCGCGUCUGCUGUGAAAACUCAGGGCUUAACCCUGAGCUUGCAGUGGGUACGGGCAGACUAGAGUGCGGUAGGGGAGACUGGAAUUCCUGGUGUAGCGGUGAAAUGCGCAGAUAUCAGGAGGAACACCGAUGGCGAAGGCAGGUCUCUGGGCAUUAACUGACGCUGGAGGAGCGAAAGCCAUGGGGAGCGAACAGG
rnacentral:rRNA from 1 species